AACGAACGCUGGCGGCAUGCCUAACACAUGCAAGUCGAACGAACCCUUCGGGGUUAGUGGCGCACGGGUGCGUAACACGUGGAAUCUGCCCUUUGCUUCGGAAUAACAGUUAGAAAUGACUGCUAAUACCGGAUGAUGUCGUAAGACCAAAGAUUUAUCGGCAAAGGAUGAGCCCGCGUAGGAUUAGGUAGUUGGUGGGGUAAAGGCCUACCAAGCCGACGAUCCUUAGCUGGUCUGAGAGGAUGAUCAGCCACACUGGGACUGAGACACGGCCCAGACUCCUACGGGAGGCAGCAGUGGGGAAUAUUGGACAAUGGGCGAAAGCCUGAUCCAGCAAUGCCGCGUGAGUGAUGAAGGCCUUCGGGUUGUAAAGGCUCUUUUACCAGGGAUGAUAAUGACAGUACCUGGAGAAUAAGCUCCGGCUAACUCCGUGCCAGCAGCCGCGGUAAU
rnacentral:rRNA from 1 species